rnacentral:misc_RNA from 1 species
UUCGUUUCCACCAACUCCCCACUCUUUCCUCCCCUUUUUCUACCUACCCAUUUUUCUUGUUCUUCAUCUCUCAUUCCGGCUUCGGAGUUUACCUAAUGCUUCUCGUCUUGGAUUCAGACACCAAUUUUCUGGAUUUGAUUCUGCGUUAGAACCUGCUUUUGGAUCCGUUUCUUUCCCUUCUCAGCUUCUUGCGCCGUCCCUCAAGUCUCUACAGUUGACUAAGAAAGUGAAGCCAGUAAUGGCUGGGAAUAUUCCUGACCAUGUGAGUGUGG